UACGUAGGGGGCUAGCGUUGUCCGGAAUCAUUGGGCGUAAAGCGCGCGUAGGCGGCCCGGUAAGUCCGCUGUAAAAGUCAAAGGCUCAACCUUUGAAUGUCAGUGGAUACUGCCGGGCUAGAGUCCGGAAGAGGCGAGUGGAACUCCUGGUGUAGCGGUGGAAUGCGCAGAUAUCAGGAAGAACACCGACGGCGAAGGCAGCUCGCUGGGACGGUACUGACGCUGAGGCGCGAAAGCGUGGGGAGCGAGCAGG
rnacentral:rRNA from 1 species